rfam:Faecalibacterium prausnitzii strain 2789STDY5608869 genome assembly, contig: SCcontig000003
CGUUGACGCCAAGCGCCGGGCCACGCGGGUGACAGCCGCGAGGGUGACGAGGAGAGGAAUCAUCGAAAAUUUCGGCGGAUGUUUCUCCGGUUGAAUGGGCUAUACCAGCCGCAAAGAGGGGCAAAAAACGGCAGUGAUACCGCAACAGAUCCCCUUGAACGAAAGC